GCGGUUGGAGCAUGUGGUUUAAUUCGAAGCAACGCGAAGAACCUUACCAGGUCUUGACAUCCUCUGACAAUCCUAGAGAUAGGACGUCCCCUUCGGGGGCAGAGUGACAGGUGGUGCAUGGUUGUCGUCAGCUCGUGUCGUGAGAUGUUGGGUUAAGUCCCGCAACGAGCGCAACCCUUGAUCUUAGUUGCCAGCAUUCAGU
rnacentral:rRNA from 1 species